AUAUAUAUAUUCUCAUUAUGUCACUAUGCAUUAUCAUCUAGUAAUUACAUUAUAUGCAUCAACAUGGAUUCUUAACUCGCUUAGACAUAAAGGGCGACCUAGUCGCUUCGGUAAACACAACCCACCUUAACACGCGUUCCGAUUGCUCGUCGACACUUGCAAUCGGCCUCCCGCGGCACUCGACACCCGCUUCGGCUCGAACUCUUGCGCGACCACCCGAACGGCCACCAAUCGGCGAUCCGUCUAUUCUGGGGUUUAUUCC
rnacentral:lncRNA from 1 species